rnacentral:rRNA from 1 species
CCCUAUUAUUUAAGAGCUAAAUAUUGUAAGUAUAUAAUAAUUAUGAAAGCAAAAAAUUAUGGCGGUAUUUUAAGCUUUUCAGAGGAAUUUGCUCUUUAAUGGAUAAAACACCUAAAUCUUACUUAAAUUUGUUAAAUCAACUUGUAUACCACUAUUAAAACAAUUAUUAACUCUAAUUGUUAAUAUUUAAAACAUAAAUUAAUUUAAAUUAAGUCAAGGUGCAGUAAAAAUUUAAGAAUGAAGUGAAUUACAUUACUUUUAAGGGAAAUAAAAUUAAAUAAAGUUUAGGAUUUGAAAGUAAAAUUAAAAUAGAAUGUUAAUUUGAAUUAAGCUCUAAAAUAUGUACAUAUCGCCCGUCACUCUUUUUUAA